rnacentral:precursor_RNA from 1 species
ACCGCGGCUGUGUACUGUCAUCCGUACGUUUUACCACUUACCGUCGUACGAUGGUAAGAUGGCGGUGCACACGUUUGCGCUACACUCAGAUUACCAUAUGGGGUUUGAUCGAGGCGAUGGCUUUUCGUCGUGAUGUCCGUUUUUUUUUUGCUUGUGUUUGUUUCGAAAUUUUGCACCUGCAAGUCGUUCCUUGCACUUUUAUUGUGUUUUGUAGUUUUGCUUUGGAAACAUUUUGAUUAUUUCAUUUACUUACAAAGAUUAAUGUAAAUCAAAAUAUGGAACUGGUUGAAACCGCGUGCUGUUCCUGUCGCUGUUGGCGUUCAGUUUAGAUUUUUUAUCUUUCCUACCUGAGCUGAUUAGCCUUGAGAGGCUAUAUCAGCGGAACCUUAACUAGUUAGUGAGCUCACGGGGCUCAAACCUAAUGACUAAGUUUAGAUGGAUAUCACACUGUUUAUCGUAAAAUAUGCGGCUAAAAGCCAUCUUAAUUUGUAACGAAAUCUUCAAGUGCUCAUAUAUCAUAACUUUAGCCGAAACUGGAUAUUUAACCAAGGCUGUUGAUUUUAUUGCAGACUACAUCAAUUAACUGCCCAACUUAACCUCAUAGCAUGUAUGUAUAGUAUCGUCUAUGUAUGCAUAUCAUCAAAUAGGGUCUAUUCAACUUGACUAAUAAUUGAAUCAAUGAAAAUGGUUUCCAAUGCAAAAUGAGUCGUUGCCCAAGAUUUACUGUUUGUUUUGAUUGUUUCGUUGUUGUUCAUUUUCAUUCUUAAAUAGAAACGUAGAAGCCAGAAGAAUUCACAGAGCCGUAUUGUUUCUGAGUAUUACUUCAGGUACUGGUUGUAUUAAAUAAAAAACGGAAUAAGUUAUUAACACAGCCUAAUAGAGAUAUUACGGAUUUACGAAAUCUCGCUUUUUUCAGCGGGAUUUAAGUAUGAGUAAUGUCAAAAUAAAACAUCUCAUUUUAUUCAUUACAGUGAUGGUCGUACGUUGUCUAUGCAAAUAAAACGAUACCGCGUGCGUGUAUUUAACGCGUUCAAAAGUGGGCACGCCCCGGUAGUUUCGAGUUUAUUAAAGCUCUAUAUGACGUCCAAGCACGCCAAUAAUAACUGAUUAAUAGUCUUUUGACAUUCUCAACGAAAUAAUGAGGGUUGACGUAAAAACCGCUGAUUGUUCGUCAGUAAAAAAAAAAAAAAAAAAAAAAAAAAAAAA